rnacentral:rRNA from 1 species
GACGAACGCUGGCGGCGUGCCUAAUACAUGCAAGUAGAACGCUGAAGGAGGAGCCUGCUCUUCUGGAUGAGUUGCGAACGGGUGAGUAACGCGUAGGUAACCUGCCUGGUAGCGGGGGAUAACUAUUGGAAACGAUAGCUAAUACCGCAUAAGAGUAGAUGUUGCAUGACAUUUGCUUAAAAGGUGCAAUUGCAUCACUACCAGAUGGACCUGCGUUGUAUUAGCUAGUUGGUGGGGUAACGGCUCACCAAGGCGACGAUACAUAGCCGACCUGAGAGGGUGAUCGGCCACACUGGGACUGAGACACGGCCCAGACUCCUACGGGAGGCAGCAGUAGGGAAUCUUCGGCAAUGGACGGAAGUCUGACCGAGCAACGCCGCGUGAGUGAAGAAGGUUUUCGGAUCGUAAAGCUCUGUUGUAAGAGAAGAACGAGUGUGAGAGUGGAAAGUUCACACUGUGACGGUAUCUUACCAGAAAGGGACGGCUAACUACGUG